rnacentral:rRNA from 1 species
GUCUUGCUGUCACUUAUAGAUGGAUCCGCGCUGCAUUAGCUAGUUGGUAAGGUAACGGCUUACCAAGGCAACGAUGCAUAGCCGACCUGAGAGGGUGAUCGGCCACACUGGAACUGAGACACGGUCCAGACUCCUACGGGAGGCAGCAGUAGGGAAUCUUCCGCAAUGGGCGAAAGCCUGACGGAGCAACGCCGCGUGAGUGAUGAAGGUCUUCGGAUCGUAAAACUCUGUUAUUAGGGAAGAACAUAUGUGUAAGUAACUGUGCACAUCUUGACGGUACCUAAUCAGAAAGCCACGGCUAACUACGUGCCAGCAGCCGCGGUAAUACGUAGGUGGCAAGCGUUAUCCGGAAUUAUUGGGCGUAAAGCGCGCGUAGGCGGUUUUUUAAGUCUGAUGUGAAAGCCCACGGCUCAACCGUGGAGGGUCAUUGGAAACUGGAAAACUUGAGUGCAGAAGAGGAAAGUGGAAUUCCAUGUGUAGCGGUGAAAUGCGCAGAGAUAUGGAGGAACACCAGUGGCGAAGGCGACUUUCUGGUCUGUAACUGACGCUGAUGUGCGAAAGCGUGGGGAUCAAACAGGAUUAGAUACCCUGGUAGUCCACGCCGUAAACGAUGAGUGCUAAGUGUUAGGGGGUUUCCGCCCCUUAGUGCUGCAGCUAACGCAUUAAGCACUCCGCCUGGGGAAUACGACCGCAAGGUUGAAACUCAAAGGAAUUGACGGGGACCCGCACAAGCGGUGGAGCAUGUGGUUUAAUUCGAAGCAACGCGAAGAACCUUACCAAAUCUUGACAUCCUUUGACAACUCUAGAGAUAGAGCCUUCCCCUUCGGGGGACAAAGUGACAGGUGGUGCAUGGUUGUCGUCAGCUCGUGUCGUGAGAUGUUGGGUUAAGUCCCGCAACGAGCGCAACCCUUAAGCUUAGUUGCCAUCAUUAAGUUGGGCACUCUAAGUUGACUGCCGGUGACAAACCGGAGGAAGGUGGGGAUGACGUCAAAUCAUCAUGCCCCUUAUGAUUUGGGCUACACACGUGCUACAAUGGACAAUACAAAGGGCAGCGAAACCGCGAGGUCAAGCAAAUCCCAUAAAGUUGUUCUCAGUUCGGAUUGUAGUCUGCAACUCGACUACAUGAAGCUGGAAUCGCUAGUAAUCGUAGAUCAGCAUGCUACGGUGAAUACGUUCCCGGGUCUUGUACACACCGCCCGUCACACCACGAGAGUUUGUAACACCCGAAGCCGGUGGAGUAACCUUUUAGGAGCUAGCCGUCGAAGGUGGGACAAAUGAUUGGGGUGAAGUCGUAACAAGGUAGCCGUAUCGGAAGGUGCGGCUGGAUCACCUCCUUU